ACCAAGGAGUCUGACAUGUGUUCGAGUCAAUGGGCUAGUAAUCCUAUAAGACAUAAGGAAGCUGAUUGGUGGGAUCACCCUGAGGGGUGCACCGUCGACCGACCUUGAUCUUCUGAGAAGGGUUCGAGUGUAAGCAUACCUAUCGGGACCCAAAAGAUGGAUGCCUGAGGGGGGCGAAGCUAAGUAAAACUCUGGUGGAGGCCUGCAGCGAUACUGACGUGCAAAUUGUUCGUCUGACUUGGGUACAGGGGCGAAAGACUAAUCGAACCGUCUUGUAGCUGGUUUCCUCCAAAGUUUCCCUCAGGAUAGCUGGAGCUUGCAUGCGAGUUCUAUCGGGUAAAUCCAAUGAUUAGAGGCCUCGGGGGCGCAACGCCCCUGAACUAUUCUCAAACUUUAAAUAGGUAGGACAGCGUGACUGCUUUGUUGAGCCGUGCCACUAAAUCAAGAGCUCCAAGUGGACCAUUUUUGGUAAGCAGAACUGGCGAUGCGGGAUGAACUGAAAGCCGGGUUACAGUGCCAAACUGUGCGCUAACCUAGAUCUCACAAAGGGUUUUGGUCGAUUAAGACAACAAGACAGUGGUCAUGAAAGUCGAAAUCCGCUAAGGAGUGUGCAACAACUUACCUGCCGAAUUGAUACGUGUCAAAGAGGCAUCUUAGCACUCGAGAACAUGAAGGCGUGAGUGAAGACCCGAGCUUGUGGGGCUGCCCAUUCAAGGAACAAGCUUUGAAGUGUUGAGAAAAAGUCCCAACACUCCAAAACAGUCCAACGAGUACACUACAAGGCUGCCCCCUUUGUUUGAGCUCAAUAAAGGCCUUUUGGUCAUUUUUGUAAUAAGUGUUGCCCUAGUCUAUAAAUAGAAUAUUUAGGUCAUUUUGUCAUUGAGAACUUGGAUUAUAUAUUUUGUAAACUCAUUGAGAGUGUUUUGGCAAGGUGGAAUCCUUGUGGCAAGAUGGAAUCCUUGUGUUGUUAACUUGCUUAGAAAUGGUGGUUGCUUGGGAAUCCAAUUUCCUUGAGGUCCCGUAAGAGUGUAGCUGUUAAAUAUUACUUGUUGUUUAUGUUUUGAUGUUUAAUAUACACCUUAGUGCUUAAACUUGUUGUAUUUCAUGUAUCACUAUUUAUCCUUUUAGUUAUUGUCAUCUUAUAUCCGUUUGUGUUGCUUGUUCUUCUCACAUUGUGGGCUGUUUUGUAUGUUCGUGGGUUGUUUCUUGUAUCACGAAUCAACUAGCCCUGAAAAUAGAUGGCGCUUAAGCGCGUGACCUAUACCCAACCGUCGGGGCAAGUUCCAAGCCCCGAUGAAUAGGAGGGCGCAUGGUCGCUGCAAAACCUUGGGCGCGAGCGGCCGUCGGUGCAAAUCUUAGUGGUAGUAGCAAAUAUUCAAAUGAGAACUUUGAAGUCCGAAGAGGAAAAAGGUACCAUGUGAGCGGCACUUGUACAUAGGUUAGUCAAUCCUAAGCGGCGGGGGAACCCCGAUAGAUAGCACGUUUCGCGCGUACUCCGAAAGGAAAUUGGGAUAAAAUUCCCAAAUCGGGACGUAGCAGUCGACGGCAAUGUUAGAAAGUCCGAAGACGUCAGCGGGAGCCUCGGGAAGAGUUAUCUUUUUUGUUUAACAGUCUGCCCACCCUGCAAUCGGCUCAGCCGGAGGUAGGGUUCAGCGGCUGGAAUAGCACCGCACGUCGCAUGGUGUCCGGUGCACUCCCGGUGGACCUUGAAAAUUCGGAGGACUGAAUGCCGUCCCCACCCAGUAGGACCAAAUCUGCCCUUUAUCUCUUCUCUCAUAAAUCAGAU
rfam:Capsicum annuum cultivar Zunla-1 chromosome 2, whole genome shotgun sequence